rnacentral:rRNA from 1 species
AUUGAACGCUGGCGGCAUGCCUUACACAUGCAAGUCGAACGGCAGCACGGGAGCAAUCCUGGUGGCGAGUGGCGAACGGGUGAGUAAUGUAUCGGAACGUACCUUUCAGUGGGGGAUAACGUAGCGAAAGUUACGCUAAUACCGCAUAUUCUGUGAGCAGGAAAGCAGGGGAUCGCAAGACCUUGCGCUGAUUGAGCGGCCGAUAUCAGAUUAGCUAGUUGGUGAGGUAAAGGCUCACCAAGGCGACGACCUGUAGCGGGUCUGAGAGGAUGAUCCGCCACACUGGAACUGAGACACUGUCCAGACUCCUACGGGAGGCAGCAGUGGGGAAUUUUGGACAAUGGGCGCAAGCCUGAUCCAGCCAUGCCGCGUGAGUGAAGAAGGCCU